GACGAACGCUGGCGGCGUGCCUAACACAUGCAAGUCGAACGGACAGGCCCCUUUGGGGGUCCUCGAGUGGCGAACGGGUUAGUAACACGCGUGUAACCUGCCCUUGACUUCGGGAAACUUUUGGGAAUCUGGGGUUAGUCCCGGAUGGGAAACAUUGCUCCCCGUUGGGGGUGGGAACGUUUCGGCGGCUUGGUUUGUACGCGCGUCUCUUCCGCUUGUUGUGGUGGUAGUGUCUUCCCAGGGCUUUGUCGGGUACCUGGCGUGGGAGGGCGACCGGCCACAUUGGGACUGGGAUACGGCCCAGACUCCUACGGGAGGCAGAAGUGGGGAAGAGUGCACAAGGGGCAGGAGCCUGAUGCAGCAACGCCGCGGGCGGGAGAACGACCUACGGGUUGGAAACGGCUUUCAGCAGGGGCGAAGCUGGUGGUGACGGUACCUGCAGAAGAAGCACCGGCUAACUACGUG
rnacentral:rRNA from 1 species